rnacentral:lncRNA from 1 species
CAGAUAUGGUAGAAGGAAGAGUCUCACAGUGGUUUCCAAGUGUGGUCCCCGGACCUGCAGCAUCAACAUCACCUGGAAACCCAUUAGAAAAGCAAACCCAGCUGUGGGCCCAGCAAGUUGUAGUUUAACAAGCCCUUCAGGUGUAUACUUUGGGAGGUACACAGACCCACUGUAGCACCUUCAGAUGGUGAGAAGGAAGGCCAAUUAAAAGAAUGUCCAAAGAAAGGAGUACUCAUCAUGAGAUAAAACACCAGCAGAGGAAUGAAAGCUGCUUCAAACAGCUACAGGUGACAAAACUGAGGCUCAGAGGCCAAUGGCCUUGUUCAAGGUCACACGCCCACUAAAUGAGAGACCCGGAGACCUGGCAUCACACGUAAGUCUGUUUGCCUCCAAAGUCUGAGAUUUUUCCUGCCCCAUUCCCCAGGAACAAGUAUCUCAUUGCUUGGGCCAGCCUAACGCAGGCUGCCCCUCUGACCAACUCCUGCUAGAGCCCCUUCUCAUUCCUGUUCUGCGGUCAGGGAACAUAUUUCCUAGGGUGAGAAGACAGCCUGGAGCUACCCAUUCGACAAUUGCUCCUUUCAGU